GUAUGCAAUAACUUCAAACAUAUUUUUACUUCAAUGAUUAUCAAUAGUAGAAAGUCAUCACUUUGUUAUUGGCCCUUGGACUCCCCUGGCAUCUCGUGUACAGCACAAAGUUCUCAGUUAUGAAGAUUUCCAGAGACUCCAGAAUGAAAUUCAAGCUCUUUAGGGCAGAGAACCAAGCUCUUGAGGGAGGAGAACCAAGCCCUGAGGGAAGGCAAUGCACGAGCAGCUUCGGGUGAAAGUGGCUCACUUCAAGGGCAGGUGAAGCAAGUUGGGACAAUGUUGAAGACGUUUGCUCGCACUGGGCAAUCAGGUGCAUUACACAUUUCCUGAAAGGAGCAUCUGACCGUGAAGGCGGAAAAAGGCGCUGCACAGCUGAGAGGGACCCACAGCCGACCCCUUAAAACCCUUUGGCGCGUACGAUCACACCGGUGUGAUCAAUCUAGAGUGGUCCCUGAAGCGUACGAUCACACCGGUGUGAUAAG
ensembl:lncRNA